GACGAACGCUGGCGGCGUGCCUAAUACAUGCAAGUAGAACGCUGAAGGAGGAGCUUGCUUCUCUGGAUGAGUUGCGAACGGGUGAGUAACGCGUAGGUAACCUGCCUGGUAGCGGGGGAUAACUAUUGGAAACGAUAGCUAAUACCGCAUAAUAGCAGUUGUUGCAUGACAACUGUUUGAAAGGUGCAAUUGCACCACUACCAGAUGGACCUGCGUUGUAUUAGCUGGUUGGUGGGGUAACGGCUCACCAAGGCGACGAUACAUAGCCGACCUGAGAGGGGGAUCGGCCACACUGGGACUGAGACACGGCCCAGACUCCUACGGGAGGCAGCAGUAGGGAAUCUUCGGCAAUAGACGGAAGUCUGACCGAGCAACGCCGCGUGAGUGAAGAAGGUUUUCGGAUCGUAAAGCUCUGUUGUAAGAGAAGAACGAGUGUGAGAGUGGAAAGUUCACACUGUGACGGUAUCUUACCAGAAAGGGACGGCUAACUACGUG
rnacentral:rRNA from 1 species